rnacentral:tRNA from 1 species
UAGGAUAUGGCCAAGCGGUAAGGCAUAGAGCUCUGGACUCUAGAUCAUUGGUUCGAAUCCAAUUAUCCUAACCA